ensembl:lncRNA
GUUUUAUAUUAGGUUUUCUUUUUUUUUUUUUUUUGUUUAUUUACCCUUCUCCAAGGCAACUGGACAACUCAGAGAAAGAAGCAAACUUGGGAGUGUGUGUGAAGGGUGAAAAAGGAGCAGAUAAAGAACAGGCUUCUGCCUCAGGUAGAAAAGGUGUUGGUGCCCUGGGGAAUAUGAGAGAAGAAAUGUAAACAAGAGGCACAGUUGUGCAAAACCUUGGAACUGAAACAAGCAUGUAGCUCAUCUUUGAUGCCUCAGCAUGGAGUAGAAACACUGGGAGACCUUGAAAGCAGCCACAAAUUUAUAUUUGCAUCUAAGAGGGAGGUACCCUGUCAGUGCAGAACUUUCUGGAAGCUGCUUUUUUAGAGCCAUUAGUUCUUGAUGCUUGUAGGCUACACUAGGCCUUCAUUCAAAAAGGUAGGUCCCCAAGGAACAAAAAAAAUGCAUUUUUGUUACAUUUUGCUUCCCCAUGUGAUAUUUUGAACUGGUACAAUUGUGAGUGCCUGGA